rnacentral:rRNA from 1 species
GUGAGGAAUAUUGCGCAAUGGAGGCAACUCUGACGCAGCCAUGCCGCGUGCAGGAAGAAGGCGCUACGCGUUGUAAACUGCUUUUAACCGGGAAGAAACCCCAGGACGUGUCCUGGGUUGACGGUACCGGAGGAAUAAGCACCGGCUAACUUCGUGCCAGCAGCCGCGGUAAUACGAAGGGUGCAAGCGUUAUCCGGAUUCAUUGGGUUUAAAGGGUGCGUAGGCGGAGCGUUAAGUCAGUGGUGAAAUCCUGCAGCUUAACUGUAGACUUGCCAUUGAUACUGGCGCUCUUGAGUGCGCUUGAAGUGGGCGGAAUGUGCCGUGUAGCGGUGAAAUGCUUAGAUAUGGCACAGAACACCAAUUGCGAAGGCAGCUCACUAAGGCGAUACUGACGCUGAGGCACGAAAGCGUGGGGAUCGAACAGGAUUAGAUACCCCGUAGUCC